CACGCCCUAAACGAUGGAUACUUGGCGUUGGGAGCUCGACCCUUCCAGUGCCGAAGUAAACGCGUUAAGUAUCCCGCCUGGGGACUACGGCCGCAAGGUUGAAACUCAAAGGAAUUGACGGGGGCCCGCACAAGCGGUGGAACAUGUGGUUUAAUUCGAUGCAACGCGAAGAACCUUACCUGGGCUUGACAUAUACUAGAAAGGUCUGGGAAACCAGAUCCCUUUCCGGGUUUACUCGGAAACUGGUAUACAGGUGG
rnacentral:rRNA from 1 species